rnacentral:rRNA from 1 species
UACAGAGGUCUCAAGCGUUGUUCGGAUUCAUUGGGCGUAAAGGGUGCGUAGGCGGCGCGGUAAGUCAGAUGUGAAAUCCCGGGGCUCAACCCCGGAACUGCAUCCGAUACUGCCAUGCUAGAGGAUUGGAGAGGUAGCUGGAAUUCUUGGUGUAGCAGUGAAAUGCGUAGAGAUCAAGAGGAACACUCGUGGCGAAAGCGAGCUACUGGACAAUUCCUGACGCUGAGGCUCGAAGGCUAGGGUAGCGAAAGGG